GGGCCCGUGGCCUAGCCUGGUUGGGGCGUUCGCCUGAUAAGCGAAAGGUCCGGGGUUCAAAUCCCCGCGGGCCCA
rnacentral:tRNA from 1 species